AAUCAACGCUGGCGGCGUGCCUCAGACAUGCAAGUCGAACGAGAAGUCCCCUUCGGGGGAUGGAUAGUGGCGCACGGGUGAGUAACACGUGGGUAAUUUACCUUUGGGUGGGGAACAACAGCCGGAAACGGCUGCUAAUACCGCAUAAUGCAGCGGCUCCUCAUGGAGACAGUUGUUAAAGCGGGGGAUCGCAAGACCUCGCGCCUGAAGAGAAGCCCGCGGCAGAUAGCUAGUUGGUAAGGUAAUGGCUUACCAAGGCGACGAUCUGUAACCGGCCUGAGAGGGCGGUCGGUCACACUGACACUGACAUACGGGUCAGACUCCUACGGGAGGCAGCAGUCGGGAAUUUUGGGCAAUGGGCGAAAGCCUGACCCAGCAACGCCGCGU
rnacentral:rRNA from 1 species